rnacentral:precursor_RNA from 1 species
GGCUUGAGGACCGUAUUCAUGGAAGAGGAUUGAACAGUAAAGAGCCCAGGAUUUGAUAAAAAUGAGAAUAUAUCGCCUCAAGCAGAAGCAGAUGAAUAUAUGGGAGAUGAAGUAGACAGUAUGUUGGAUAAAUCUGGAGUAAAGAACCCAGCAAUUGGUAAAGAUGAGAAUAUAUCGCCUCAAGUAAAAGGAGAUGAAGACAUGGGAGAUGAAAUUGACAGUAUGUUGGCUACAUCUGGAGGUCUUUUCUCCUGAGAACACGGGACUCCAGCAUCUUCGGAUUCUGCUCUUGGAGGUGUGAGUCCCUGCCUCUCUGCACAGGGGAACUUAUGUCUCUCCACAUGUCCGCAAAUGUCUACCCAAGAUUAUACAUCUUCCAAAGGCUUUCAAAUACUUCUUUACAUAAACAAGGGGUUUGCCCCACAUCCUCUAUAUUGCAGAAAACAAGACUAGGCUCUACCUCUGUAGAUCAAGCACGACUGAAAUCCGUGCUCUCAAAAGAUGCUGGGGAGAAAGAGUGCCAUUCUUCACAAAUGCUGCUGCAUCAUUGGACUGAAAGUGAAUGGCCCAUGUGUUGCCACUGAUGUGAGCCAUUUGCAAGCC